AUGUUGCGAGCAGGGCUCAUUGUGCCCAGCAUUAGCCCAUUCUCAUCACCGGUCUUACUCGUCAAGAAGAAAGACCAGACUUGGCGGUUUUGCGUUGAUUUCCGCCACUUGAAUGCCAUUACAAUCAAGAACACAUAUCCCCUGCCUGUCAUUGAGGAGUUGCUGGACGAAUUGAUGGUUCCACUUGGUUUUCAAAACUUGAUCUAA
rnacentral:rRNA from 1 species